AUUACACCUUGCUUGCUCCUUGAAGCGACUCGCCGAGAGUCCUCUCGGUUUCUUGCACACGGGAUUCUGGGGAUUCGAGCUGCACGGCGACUGGUUAACAGAAACUACAGGCUUGAGUUACGACCGGAAUGUAAAUGGCGUACUUCACCACGUCUCUCGCGGGACCAGCCUCGAAUUAUCAGCAAUAAAGUAUCUCGCUGGCGUGUUGAACAAGACAUGACCGGCGGUAGUGCAAGCACCGCUACAUUUGUUGCUGAAUGGAGUUGGGUCCUCUCGUCGGUGAUCGUUGAUCCUUGCGCAGCUGGAUGGUAUCACGUUGGCUAUAACGAUCGUAAAGAGAUCGUUGAUCUAAUAUUAAAAGCGCACACGAGAUGUUCCGUGGCAUCGAAGCAAAGAAAAAGAUUUUCAAUAGAAGAAUCCUCGAACUCGUAACGAUAAAUUAAGUAAAAAUCCUUAAGAUCAUGGAAACAUUGUAAUUUCAAUCGUCGCCUAGAGAGCGCGCCUUCAUCCUUUGUGAUGAUAUUGCCGUUGUUAACCUUGCUAAGGAAAAAGUUUUAUUUUAACAUGGAGAGAAGCGCAAAGCGGUCUCCUUCCACCUGACCAGAAAACAUUAUCGUAACUUCACUGCCGAUAAACUCACUGAAAUUCUGCGGUACACGCUAGCCAUGGAUAUUCCAGUGUAGAGAAAGAAGAAAGCCAAGAAUUGAUAAAAGCGGACAGGAAAGCAUUAACAUAGCAGUUUAAUUCCUGUUAGACUCGUAAUUACGCAAGCAUUUCAAAUAUAUAAAGUUGAAUUUGCUGCAAAUAUAUCACACCCGUUAGAAUCAAGAUUAUUGAACAACAGUUUUGGUAUUGUAUAAAGCUUUGGGAAAGAUAUUUUAUAAUAAAGAUAUAUGUUUCUAACGGUAUAUCGAUUAUUCAAUGAAAUUAAUUGUCUCAAAAUGAAAAAAAUAAAUUUCAAAUUGAAAAAUGAAUAAAUGAAUUGACAAAAUAAA